AGUUUGAAGUCUGGGCUUUAAGAUGCACACAGAGCAGUAGGAUUUCCUGCCAACAAAUGAAUAUCUGGAAACGGCGCGCUGCUCGUUGAAACAAAAACUCCACACAACCUAGAAGCUGUUCGCAUCAUCUCCUUGCAACCAGCCUGAGGAACACCAGAGAGUUGAGUUGAAGCGAUUAUUGCUGUCAAAACAAGUCGGGAACAACGGAGGCACUCAGCUCAGCACCCAUCGCUGCGGCUGCACGGCCCUCAUUUGCACUGCCAGCCACAUUCAUGGCCCGUUAAACCAAAGAGAAGUUAUUAAGAAUGAAAAAGCGUGAGCUGCCUCCGUGCUGGCCCUCGUAUCUUCGUUAAUUAAACACAACAGCUCUCCUCCUCCCCCCAGCCCCAAGGUACACAAACACUCCUUUCUGAAAGCCCACUCGCUACAACUUCCUCCUCGCUGCCACAAUAGCUGUCUGCAAAUUGAACGAUAAAUGGACAGGACACAAAGUAUUUCUGAGAGCCGUUGGGUUUCCAGGGAACACGGGGGCCAAAUAAGUCUGCAGCAAAACAGUAGAGCUCAGAUUAAGAAUGCCAGUGUGCAUUUGGUUCUUCUGCAGAAGGAUGCUCGGGGCACAGGACCUGGGGUAAAACCAAAGCGUUUGGUGCAGAUGAAUGCUCUCCAGGAGCCAGAGAAAGAAAAGAAGCAAGUUGCCAUACUUUGAUAGCAGCAUAAGGGCAUAGCUGAGGAACUUAUCACUAAAUAAGGAGCCUACUUGCCAGCUCCCCCUCAUUUAAGAGCUUAGAAUCACAGAAUGGUUUGAGCUGGGAGAGACCUCAAACAUCACCCAGUUCCAAUCCCAUUGCAGCGGCACAUGGGAGAACACAACAGCACCAACUCCCCACUAACACAAGGGCUGAGUGACCUUACGUUGGAGCACAGGAGCUGCUCGCAAGCUGAGCUAAAUGCAUGCACAAAGCUAAGCGUGUGCCAAAAGAAUGGCAGCUCUGCUGCUGCCUUCAGCAAGUUUGCUGGAAAGGUGACCCCCACACCCCAGGGCUCCCUGCUCUGCAGAGCAAGAAGCACAGUUGCCCUCUGCAGGUUCCCCAUUCCCAUUCUGCAGUCCCAUCCAUUUCACUUGCUUAAACAAGUUUUGAGUUUGGGUGGUUUCUAAUAAACCCAACGUCUCAACUUCAAUACAAAUGUCACCAUGCUAACAGCGUAACAAUGGUUACCAAAUAUUUUCCUCCUCGCUCUUUUGUGCUCACCUGACAAUAUUCCAGCGCAGCCAAAAAGGAGAUUAGCAGAAAGCUGUGCCAAAAAAGCAGCAGAGCUGAUAAAAGCAAUGCUAGAAAUGGCCCAUCGCCCCAUGCCACACCUGCCAUAGGAAUGUGGCUUUGCCUUGGAUCACCCGUGAAAAACCCUCCCUGAGCCCAUGUCACAGAAUGGCUGAGGUUGGAGUAGAGCUUAGAGAUCCCCCACCCUGCCAUGUGCUGGCUGCCCCCAGCUCAGCUGCCCAGGGCCCAUCCAUGGCCUCGGGCACCUCCAGGGAUGGGGCACCCACAGCUCUGGGCAGCACUGCCAGGGCCUCAGUGCCCUCAUAUUGGGGCCGCUCAUGUCUGUACGGCUUACAGUGAGUAAACAAAACUGGAGCCCUCCUCAUUCACCUGGGUCUCACAGCUUCCAUCCCACAACAAAGUAGCAGCGGUGCUAAGAAAAACAGCGGGGGAUAACCACUGCUCACCACUGACUGCAGGGUGACGGCCCUCAGCUCUUCCCAAGUGCAACUUCAGGCACUGCAAACGGAGCGGCACGCAGAGUCACGCCGACCUGUGACAGACGCUUACCUUACACCAACACACCCGCCUCGCUGCCAAAGCCCUAGCAAAGAUUUCCACCCGUGCUCCAGCCAGCUGGGAGCAGACACCUUUACCUGCCACCGCUCUGGGCUCGUUCCUAACCCCAAAAGCAGACCAAAUAACACCGCACAGAGCCCAGAUUGCACGCGGGUCAUCCACCCCCAGAUCAUCCCGCGGCGCACGGCUUACAAGGUCGGGCGGCUCCGCGCUGCUCUGCCUCUUCCUCAGCGAGGAGAAGCGCUGCUGGCUGCGCACCGAGAAGCGCCGGAAGGACUCCCGGCUGCGGGAGGCGAAGUGCCUGAAGGAGGAGGUCCGCUUCAGGGGGGCCCUGGGGCCGGCAGCCCGCUCGUGGGCCACCGCCGCCGUCACCAGGUGGAUAUUCAGGGACGUAAUUCUCCGUGGCAGCCCCGAUUCCGCAAGAAGGAUUCCGCUCGUACAGUGUUUCCGUGCACGUAAAUAGCACUAGGCUAGCGCCGCCGGCGUGCCUCUGUAUUUAAAUGGAGGCGUGAGGCUGGAGACGGACAUUUGUCAAGGAGGAAAAAAAAUAAAAGGUUUUCCUACUUACAAUCA